CUUAUCAAAAAUAUCAUCUUAACCUUUUCUCCACCAUAUAUACACAAGUUCUUAAGUUCUAGAGGAGUUGCAGAAGCGGAUUGAAGGGUUAGUCGGUACUACUUGAUUGCAGAGAAGAAAGGGACUAGUGUUGAGUUUAUUGACAAAGGAAGUAAAGACAUGGACAAGGAUACAAAGAAAACAGAACCCUGCUUUGCAGAGGAAAUUGUCUAUAACAUUGGAAGCCUCUACAAUGGGAAAUUCUUACUUUUCAGAGGAAUACAUUGGAUUACUUUGUUGUUGAUGUGAUUAAAUGCGAGAUAAAGCUGGCGCCUAUUGACAUCAGGAUGUAUUCAGCUUGGGAUGCUCACUCCAUUAACAUGUCUCUGUGUUUGUUUUUGUGAUUUUGAUGAUCAGAUAUUCAGAGAGAAAUGUUGAGCAUUGAGUGGCUCUUUGUUGUAGUGAGAAACAUCUUUGAGAAUCAAUAAUAAAUGACUCAAUAUAUUUAAAAUGGUCACCA